UUAAACUUAUGUAUGAUAAGAGUGCAUUAAUCAACAAUUAAUGGGCCACUUCGACAAUCUAGGGUAAAACACUCGAAUCCAGGGUAAAAUUGACAAAAGUCUAAGGUAAGAUUUCAUCAACUCAUGGAAGCACUGGAAGUGGAGUAAGGGCGUUAGCCUCAGUACCACCCGCCGCCUCGUUUGAGUAGGUCGUGUAUUGGUACUCCGACUAAACCCGGAUUAUAACCUCUAUGAGGUUUUUGCUUGGGGAGUUAAGGACAAGUCGGACAAAUAAAGAAACCGAAGGUGUGUGGCGUGUUCUUAACCAGCUGUGGCCACCUGAGGGCUACAAUUGGUGACCCCGGAGUGACCGGCAACUCUUGGCAGCUUGUACCCGUAACGCCACCCACCGUGACUGCUUCAACCCCUGCAUAUUCACCACCCUGCAUCGCCACAGUGACUACACUGCCCUGGUUUCCAUGCUGUUGCAGUCUACCAAGUUGGACGUCAACUCGCUACUUCAAAGGACAUAGUAGGUGACGCCACCACACAUGGCUAACAGCGAGGAUACCAAGGGUGCCUUACCCUUGAAUGUAGUGGGGAUUAAGAUGCCAGCAUUUAUGGAGACUGCUGCUUCUGCUUGGUUUUCCAUAUUAGAGGCAAAUUUUCACAUUAAGCACAUCACCUCAGAGGAAACCAAAUUUUCCAUUUGAUUGCUAACUUGCCACCAGUAGUAGUUGUGAAAAUCUCUGCUAGUGUAAUCACUCGGCAGCAAUAUGCUGAAACAAAAGCUGCAAUGAUAGCUAUCCAUGAAAGAACUAAGCCUGAGCUCUUUUCUAAGCUAAUAACUAAAACUUCCAUGACUGGAAGGCUUUCAUAUUAUAUGCAGGAACUUAAUUCCAUUGCUAGCAAAGUUGGUGUAGGUGAUGAUCUUGUAAGACACCAGUUUAUCCAGGCAUUACCUCCUACCAUAUCCCCAGUUCUUGCUGCUCAAAAGGAUUUUACUUUAAUGCAGUUAGGUAAUUUGGCUGAUGAACUUACCCUUUCUUUCAGCAAGCCUUACAUGUUAAGUCUGAUGUAGAGUCACCUUGUAAGCAGGCCUCCCCACAUUUUCAGGAAAGGGAGAUCAGUGCAAUCCCCAUAGGCCUACGUCCUUUCAAUGAGCAGCAAAGACCGAAGAUUUGUAGGGGUCACCUAUAUUAUGCUGAUAAGUCCCGAACAUGUAAACCAUGGUGUUGUUACUCGAGUAAGACUAACUGUACUAUUCUGCCCAAUUCUUGACCAGCAUCUCCAGCCCAGUCCUCGGAAAACUAGUAGGGCGGGUCGAAGGCGUCACCUCCGGCCUGCCACCCUUUGAAGUUGCUGCCCAGAUAGGUGCCACUAAACUCAUUAGUUGUGGACACAGGUGCUUCUGUAUCUAUUCUUCCUUGUAAAUACAGUGUAGGUUUAAAUCUGAAUCCUACCCUGCUCACCUUUCAUCUGCCACCGGCGAGUCAAUCGCCUGUUAUGGUGAAGUGGUAGUAGACAUACUCAUACCCAAGUUACGCAGAAUGUAUAAGUGGACAAUGAUUGUAGCUGAUACAACACACGCUCUUCUUGGCUUAGAUUUCUUGUCACAUCAUAAUUUAAUUAUCGAUUGUGGAAAGCAAAGAGUCAUUGACAAUACUACCAAUUUUUCCAUGUAAGUUUGUAAGGUUGAAUAUGAUGUCUUAAAUGUUGAUAUUGACUUUCCUGAAGGGAUUUCAUCAGAUAUUCAGCAACUCCUUCAGAGUUUACCUGGUUUGACUUUACCACAACAAACACUAGGGAGCAUAAUUAAAGCGAAGGUUGUGCAUCGCACAGAUACAGAAGGUAAAGCUCCAGUAUAUGCAAAGGCACGACAGUUGUCCGAAGAAAAACUUGCCGUUGCAAAGAGAGUUUAACACUUUGUUAGAUAGAGGCAUUAUCCGUCGUUCUGAGUCACCUUGGUCAUCACCACUACAUUUAGUUGUCAAAAGCACACCUGGACAAUGGAGACCUUGUGGUGAUUAUAGAGCUCUGAAUGCAAUCACUAAACCUGAUAGAUACAGUAUGCCUCACAUACAUUCAGUGACGUCAAAACUUCAUGGUAUGAAAUUCUUUUCAAAGGUGGAUUUAUUUUCAGCAUUUCAUCAAAUACCAAUGAAUCCAGAUGAUGUGGAAAAGACAGCAGUAGCAACUCCAUUUGGAACUUUUGAAUAUUUGUACAUGCCAUUUGGACUAAGAAAUGCAUCUGCAUCCUUACAGCGACAUAUGGACAACCUUUUCAUGAAUGUUCCAUGUGCUUUCACGUACUUGGAUGAUAUCCUGAUAUUCUCCAAGUCACGAGAACAGCAUUUGAGAGACAUAGAGACUGUACUUAAGAUACUUAAUGACAACUGCCUUCGCAUUUCUCUAAACAAGUGUUGUUUCAUGCAAAAGAACAUAGACUUCCUUGGAUGUAACAUAAGUGCCGAGGGUGUUAGGCCAACACAAAAGAAGCUGUAUGAAAUUAAUGACUUCAGUGAACCUACAGACUCCAAGUCGCUGAGGCGCUUUUUAGGCAUGAUGGGCUUUUACAGACGGCUUGUGCCAAACUUUGCGGCCAUUGUCCUUCCUCUGACAGAACUAAUCAAAUCACAUCCUAAUGCCAAAGAGUUGACGCUUAAUACAGAGGAAAAACAAUAAUUUUCAGAGAUUAAGAAAAUUCUAAGUGAGCUUACCCUACUUCUGCCAUCACUCACUAUCAAAUAGUGACUGACAGCUCAAGUUAUGCAGUGGGUGCUGCACUGCAUCAGAUGAUAGAUGGCCAACCAGUGCCCAUUGGUUUCUUUUCGAAGAAGCUAUCUGAGACGCAGAGAAGUCAGUCCACCUUUGACAGAGAAUUACUUGCAGCUUAUUUUGCAGUUUUACAUUUUAAAACACAAAUAGAAGGGAGACACGUCACAUUGUUCACAGAUCACAAACCUUUAGCAGGUGCAUAUAAAAAGCCUAAUUCCAUGAAGUCUGACAAACAACAGCAACAUCUCUCUCUCAUCACUGAGUAUGUAGCAGAUGUAUGCUAUAUUAGAGGAAGCCAGAAUAUCGUUGCUGAUUGCUUAUCACGUCCCACCAAUGCUGUAACGGUUGAUCUUUAUGACUUACCUGCCCUUGCGCAUGAGCAACAGUCAGAUGAAGAAAUUAAAUCCUAUGCCACCACUCUGAAAUCUUUUCAAAUCGAUGGUACAGUAAGUAUUUUGUGUGAUGUCUCAACUCUUUUUCCUCGCCCCUUCAUGCCAAAAGCAUGUCAAACAUUCAUGCACUAUCCCAUCCUGGUGUAAAAGCAACCCUAAGAUUAAUUAAAUCCAGGUACUAUUGGCCAAACAUGGACAAAGAGAUUCGUACUUGGGCAAGGAACUGUCAAGCCUGUCAACAGAGCAAAAUCCAUAGACAUACAAAAAGUGAAAUUCAUGCUUUUCAUCUUCCAUCUGACCGUUUUGAGACUGUCCAUGUGGAUAUUGUAGGACCCUUGCCCGUUUGUAAGGAUACCACAGGAUCAUUCAUUGCUCCCUAUCGAUACUUCCUCACGUGUUGAUAGGGCGACAAAAUGGCUGGAAGCAUGUCCCUUACAGGAUAUUACAGCUGCUUCUGUUGCUUCUGCAUUCCUAACAACCUGGAUUUCUCGUUUUGGUGUACCACUGUAUGUCGUUACAGACCGUGGAACUCAGUUUGAGAGUGAACUUUUCCAGGAACUGUCCUCCCUUGUGGGAUUUCACCAGCUUUGUACGACGCCAUUUCAUCCCCAAGCGAACGGCAUGAUUGAGCGGCAACACCGCACCCUUAAGACUGCCAUAACAGCUCGAAAGGAAAGUUGGUUGCAAGCUUUGCCCAUUGUUUUACUAGGAAUUCGCAUAACACCAACAGAAUCAGGAUUUUCUCCUUUUUCAGCCGUAAUUGGUUCCUCACUUUUGUUCCCUCAACCUCUCAUUGUGACACCAAGUGAAUUAAAGGAAAAGGGGGAAACUCAAUUCUUCACAAGUUCAUGCUCUCGCCACAGAGAUGGCCAAGCUAGAUUUUGCAGAGUUUGCACAGGGUAAACAUCAUUGCACUCCUAAAUCAUAUUAUCCCCCUGAGUUGCACACUUGUACACAUGUGUGGAUUCGAGUGGACCGGAUCCGGCGACCAUUAGAGGCACCAUACUCUGGUCCCUUUCUUGUUGUUAGCCGGGGAGAAAAACACUUUGUUGUAGAUAUCUUCGGUAGAGAACAAUCCAUUUCUGUAGAUCGCCUGAAACCAGUUCAUCAAUCCUUAAGUAGUGAUUUGACUAAUGAUGCUGCGCCAUCAUCAGAUGCUUUGGCUGACACGGCCCCAGCGCCCAACGCUGUUUCAGGCAAUGAUAGUGACUCUAGGUCUGAAAACUUACCUGAUACUCCUUCCACAGAUACAAUGAUCAGGUCUUCACGAAGUGGUAGGCGUAUUACAUUUAAGACUGAUCCUGAUUAUUUUUACUAUUAAUUAAGCUUAUGGCUCUGCCUUUUGGUGGGGAAGUUGAUGUAGUGACUUCAAAAUGUUUGUAUAAUUAUAAUUUGCCAUAGAUAUUAUUUUUUGUUAUUUUACCGUAUUAGUCAGCCUUAGCUAUUGUUUGUAAAGCUUUAUUCAUGGUAACAAAGAUCAGGAUCACGAGCUGUGUUAAGAAGGGAAGUGGAGUAAGGGCGUUAGCCUCAGUACCACCCGCCGCCUCGUUUGAGAAGGUCGUGUAUUGGUACUCAGACUAAACCCGGAUUAUAACCUCUAUGAGAAGUUAAGUUUUAGGUAACAUUCAACUUAGGAUCUUUUGUGUGUGUGUUAUCAUAGAAUGUGAUAAAAUGUACAUGAUUGUGUAAACCAUUAUUGCAAUACUAGUAAUAAGAGGAAGACGGAAAAGAGUUGUUAUGACGCUUGUUUACAUGCCAAAGUUAUAUCUUGUGUUAGUAAUAUUUUCAGUUUGCCAAAGUGAAGCUGUUUAAGAUGUCACCUAGGUAUUUAUUCUUACAUGUGAAUUAAACGUAACUACUUUAUACGUAUUAUAUGGAAUGUUUAGCUACACUUUAAUGAAUCGUCAACUAGCGUACGACAGUUAUUGUGCAUUGUGAACCACAUACUUCAGGAUUUCAUGUUUGUACUAGUAAAUGACAAUGUUCACAGGUUUUUGUUUGGGGAGUUAAGGACAAGUCGGACAAAUAAAGAAACCGAAGGUG